rnacentral:rRNA from 1 species
AUUGCAGGCUGCAACCCGCCUGCAUGAAGUCGGAAUUGCUAGUAAUCGCGGAUCAGCAUGCCGCGGUGAAUACGUUCCCGGGCCUUGUACACACCGCCCGUCACACCAUGGGAGCCGGUAAUACCCGAAGUCAGUAGUCCAACCUCGUGAGGACGCUGCCGAAGGUAGGAUUGGCGACGUGGGUGAAGUCGUAACAAGGUACC